CCAGAAGAACAGAACAAAAGUAAAAAGCUUACAUGGGAGAAAGGAAUGGAAUCCAAGAGAGAGGAGUAUGCUUCAUGGGGGGAGGGAAGAAAACCAAACCAAAGAGAAAAAAGAAAGAAACCCACUUUUGGGAAGGAGCAAAAGGAGUGGCCUUUGGUGCUGAAUUCCAGUUCUGCUGCUGCUGUUGCAGCAAAAACAGCAUA
rnacentral:lncRNA from 1 species